CGGUGGGGUAGAAAAAUGGCGUCGUGACAACGUUUUGGUGCAAAUUGACGUGAUGAUUUAGGACGCAAAAAACACCACUUUGCGGGACUUUGGAUCCCGCAUGCGCAGGUUCGAGUCCUGCCUCCCCAGCCA
rnacentral:tRNA from 1 species